GUAUUCUUGUCUAAGCAUUAUGUUCCAUCUUUUGAUGGGGAUCUAUAUUUCUGCAAUGUAUGAUACCAUGCAUACAACGGAAUAUAUACAGACCCGUUGAAAAAAAAUGUGUACUCUAAAAUAGGUAUAUUUUAAAACUUAUACGGUACCAAUUUUUAUGCACCAGAUGCGCAUUUCGACAAAUAAUGUCUCUUUAGUGAUGCUCAAUCGAAAUGUUUGAAAUCCGAAAUAACUAUGAAGGUUUAGAUCUAAAUAUAGCCAAAAACAGCGUGCCAAACAAGUGGAGCCAAAUUCGUCCAAGGAUAUGUACACUAAUUACCGAUUAAAGACAACUUUUAUAUCUAUUGUUUGAAAAUUAUUAUAUUGUACCCAUCAAUUUCUGGCAAGGGGACAAUGAUUCAACAUUCCACUAUUUCAAAUCUCUUUAGCUGUUUUUGUGCUCAAUAUCAACGACUUGUAUUAUGUAUGCAUGAACAUGUUACACAUCCAUUUUAUCAUUGAUUUCAUAGUAUUUGAAGUACAUGUGUAACAUUUCAAAGCAUCACAUUUUCGAUAAAAGUACGAACCAUCUGUAUAUUGCGGAAUGUGGGAAUAGAGUAUCAAUGUUUGUCAUAGUUGGGUAAGGAAAUGAGUUGAAGGAUUUGAAGUACUUUCGGCACUCACUAGUGAUACAAUCACUCCAUACCUCCUUUGUAUCCUCGCCAUACAAACCACAGCGAACUGUUUCCCUCGAUAACUUGUAAUUUAAUGGUCGUCAAAUUCAUGCAACAUUGGUAAGUCUUACUGAUACACAGCUCCAUUACAUGUGUAUGUUACAUUGCCAUCAGUCACAUAAACCUUACUUGUCGGGCGGAAUUCUUUGUCUUUAUGAUAAUCAAUCGGGAUAAAGAAACUUUGCUUCAACUGGUGUCGUUGUGACCAUCUCAUUUAUUUUAUUUCAAUAUUUUAUUCAUUUGAUACUUCAGAGUUCAUGUAUUUUUUAUCUUUGUAUCAGAUCUCUUGUUUUUUUUUUAACUGCUAAAUUGUCAUUAAACUGAACGUCAAUGAGAGAAAAUGCGUGAGAUGUCUCACUUAACAAAUUCGUUUCAUGUAAAAGACACCGUGGAGCUUCACCAUUGACUAACGAAGAUGGCAGUAAAAUGAUAUAACAUACAUUUGUGACAAGUGUGGAAAUACAAACUUAACAUCACUAACAUUUCACAAGUUUGAUUGCGUUUUGAUAAACAUGUAUAUAUAUAAAGUCAUAUAAUUCGGACGGCUGGUUAAACGAUGACAAAUAAUCAACGUGUACAGGACAAUAAACCAGCGCUGAUAUCAAUCUUAAUCCGAUACUCGUAUAUUUCCGGUAGCAAGGAUGCUUAUUAGAAUAAUUGAAGCGAUUAGUCGACUCAGAUUUGAAACUUCAAAAGUAGGAUUUUGUUUCUAAAUUAUGUAUAUGGAUAUGUUCUAUAAAAUACACACUGUUCCAUGAAAGUAUAAGAACUGAACUGUAAAAUAACAUACAAUACUCAGUGUUGUGCGACCUAUAGAUAGGUAACUGUGAUCCUGUCAAUCUUUUACGUGUUUGAUCAUGAAAAGAUGAAGAACAAACAGUGUGCUUCAAUAUUUCAACAUGUUUGACUUUUCGGAAAGUGUAUUCAUGAGCAGUGUUAACCAUAGUUGGUUUAUAAAGUAUUUUGAGAAGGGGGCCAAGAAAUAUAAAUGAAACGUUGCACGUAUUGCCUCAUUUCGGGACAGAGGAUGAAUGCAAUUAUUUCUCAUCACUGUGCACUCUUUCAAAAUUAUCUCUACUUCUGCGUUGUGGUACAAUACGACUUAUAGUUACAUUGCACAAUAAUCAUUGCGUUCAUUACCAAAAUAAGAUAAAAUAACUGCACGCCCUCUUAAUUAUGUGACAUCAAAAGAUGUUGCAUUGAUUUAUUUAGAUGUAUGUAGGUUAGAACCAAAGUUUGUUGGAGUCGUUUUAGAUAAAUGUAGCUGUUUAUUAUUGAAAAAAGGACAAUAAUUCCGUUUCUAUUUAUUUCUCUAUCCACCAUGUGAUAUAUUUCCUUUUUUUUCACAGAUAUUUUGUAAAUGUUUGUAAAAAGCAGUUUUAUGAAUGUAGCAAUCACUAAUGUCAUUUUACUUUUACAUAAUGUGUUGUACUCGAAAACACAUUUUACGUUACUGUUAUUAAAGGAAAAACACAAGUCUUUCCCAUAAUUCUUUGUAAAAUCACCCGAGCGUAGCUUUAUCGCCGGUAUUCAUUCCCGGGUGAGCUAUGGUAACACGGUGGCUGUGUCACUAUUCUGUAUGCUGACACGUGUUCCAUGGGAAUUAUUUAUAUACUAGUAACUUACCGUAUGUAUGGCAAGAGCACGGAUACACGGACGUGGUAAGUAUAUAUUUUACAUUUAUAGUUCAUUUGCAGUAUGUUUUAGCUUAUUGAUCAGUCUGUAUAUACCCCUUCUUAUAUUUAAACUUGGCCUGUAAUCACCGUUUUACAUUUAUGUGUGGUCAGGCGUAACAGUGACGUGAGAAGUUAAAUCUCUAUUGUUACAUUAUAUAGAGAGUUAGUGAGGUAAUUUGUAACUUUUUUUUUUAUUCUUGUGACAUUUAAAUCUUAUUUCUAUACAUGGGCGGAAGUGAAUAACAGGAUGUGAUGCAGGGUCCGCCAUGUUUUGUGAAUACAUGUAUCAAACGUCAUGAAGAGUUGCUGAUUCGAAAUUGAAUUGUACGAGGGAAUCAAUUUGGUGGAUUGUUGAACUAUAUAUCAACGGAAAUUCAUGAACAGAUAGUAUUUAGGUUCAAUCCCAAAAGGAGAGGGAUCUACAGUUUAAACCCUACAACCAAGCACUACUAGGAAUCGCAGCAAAGUGACGAUCAUGGUUCAUUCAUUGCAGUAUAUAGAACUUAAUCUUAUUUGCAAACAUACCGUGCCAUUUGUUAUGGAUGUUUUAACUCAUUGAUGGAUUCGACAAACUAGGAUAUGACAAUAUUGACCAAUGAUGCCAAGUGGCAACUACCUGUAUAACUGUAUAAUCAUAUAGAGAAUAAUGAUAAGGUUGUUUUAUCAUUGUAAAUAUCCAUUUCUUAAGUUAUGUUAGAUGUGUGACAGAUGUGAGAGUGAGGUGAGGUCAUCAUCUUUUCUUUCUUUUGUAAAUAAAUAUUGUUAUCUAAAGUAAGGUUUUCGUGUGAUUAGAUAAAGCCUUGCUUAUCCCAUGUUAUAAUGAAACUGUUAUAAAUACUA